CAUCAGUGAUCCCCAACAAGUAGCUCGCGAGCAACAUGUUGCUCACCAACCCAUUGGAUGUUGCUCCCAGUGGCCUCAAAACAGGUACUUAUUUUUGAAUUCCAGGCUUGGAGGCAAGUUUUGGUUGCUUAAAACCCAGCUGUUCUGCCAAAUAGAGCCUCCUGUCGGCUACAAUCUAUAUAAGGGCUACCAAACGGCCAAUAACAGCCCUGACUUGACAUCCCCAUGGAGUUUUUAAUGCUUGUGUUGCUCCCCAACUUUUUACAUUCAAAUGUUUCUCACGAGUAAAAAAGGUUGGGGACCCCUGCUCUACAUCAUACUAAAAGUUAAUGUAAAAAACCCUUUUAAAAGCCUUUAUUUUUACAUCAAAGGCAACAGCUAGCAUUAGUAGACGAGAGCCUGGCUUUCUAUGAGUUUGACUCCCGAGUUGGAGGGUUUGCAGCUAGUCUUGUGCAAUGUUUUUUAAGAAAGUUUUUCCACCAACAAAUUUUGUGUCAUAUACAAUUACAAUAACCUAUUCCUCACCAAAGCCUCAGGCUGCAAUAAGUGCCCUUUGUACUAAUCAGGAAGUAAAAUUGACUCAUUGCUUAGGUCUGAAGAAUGAAGAGUUUUCAUGAUCAAAGUUUCUUGAUUUGUUGGCUUUACAGAUUCAUUUUAACUUAAUGGCUGAUUCUUAAAUGAAGCAUUCCUGUCCAAGCUGGUUUCGGAUCCACCUAAAAUACCUUGCCCCCACCCUUGCUCUUGGAAUUUAAAGGAAAACAUGGCUACAGAGACUUUCCUUAAAUCUUACAGCAAGCUGGAAUACUAUAUGUACCCGCUAAGCAAUCUUUAUCAUAUUUUCAGUGCUUGGGAAUCAAAGGCAAUGACACCAUCAGCAGCAAUUCUUUCUUUUUUGUAACCAUUUGUGUGCAAUAAAAACCUUUAGUUCUGUGUGUAGUAUCUACACAGCAGGGGGUACAGUUUAAUCUUAUUGAUGCAGGGCUGCAGGCAAGAUUUAAGACAAAACAUUGUACAGGUAGUUGACAAUUUGUUGGAAAUAAACUGUACUUAUGAGAAAGUCUUAUUGUAACAUCCUGAAUCAGUGCUUUAAGUAAAGUGAUGUCCCUUAAUGAAAUGUCAUGAAGAAUAACACUGGAAAAGUGAUUGUUUUAUCACCCAGUAAGGGAUUGUAUACUACAUAAAAAGCUAUAAAUGUGUCUGCAGUUAUGUCUUUCUCCUCUCUCAGGUGAAACAAAAUGGAAUGUGCUGAACUAACCUGACACUACAGCUGCAUAGAGAUACAGUAGCAUUCUCAGUGUUCGGGGAUUUACCGAAUACACACACCACUUAAUACAUAUUUAAUUAAGCAGGGCUAUUAGGCUAUAGCCUGCACAUGGCAAUGAUAGCUAACUCAUUUAAUAAAUUCACUGCCGCAAUUUUGCUUUCAUUAGUCCGUGGUGCUCGCAGAACGCUUUAUCACUAUUUAUAGCCAUCAUUUGUAUUAUGUAUGAAGCUUUUUUUUUCUUAGCACCAGAUUAGUCACCACUGAGUGGACCUAUGUUUAGAUUGCCCUUUAACUUGUUGAUUGUCCUCCAGUCUGUGGUCUAUUGACAGUUGUAACGUGCACCAUGGUGUGUAUUAUUCUGCCUGCCAUAGCCAAAAGUGGGGGUUCCCUAAUAAUCUGAAAGCCCUAAAACAAUGAUUUGAUGGAUAGUGUAAGAAAAUGAGAAACAGCUGUGUCCGAUAUAUGGACAAGGCAGGCAUUUAGAGGGGUAUGUGCAUGCAGUUCAUAAAGAACCCGCCCCUGAAAUGAAAAUAAAUAGUCUAUCCCCCAAUAGAUAUGCUCCAUAUCCUAACAAAGCAGCUUUCAUUGCAAACAGGUAGAUGAAAAUGUGGGGACUAUAGCGUUCGUCUAUAAUUGAUAUUCAUGGCAACCACAUCUGAAAAGCAGUGCAUGCAAUUGGAAAUCUAGGAUGCUCUACUCUUAAAUAUAUAUUAGUUAGUGUUCCAAAAUGUUAUGUGUAUGGACAGAAUCUUUUAUAGGUUUUUCAGUAGAAGCCUUUGACUUGAAGAAAACAUCUUUUGAGUAGUGCUAACCUGCAAUAAGUCAUCCGUAAAACAAAAUAUUUCUGCCGUAGCUGCUUUAUGUGUACGGGGCAUGCAUUUUCUGAAGACUUGCUGCUAUGCAUUUUAGUGGAGUUGCCAUAUUGCUUCAGCAGUAAAGAUGAACAUUAGCUUAUUAAUAAAUAACAUCGCCAUGUGAAGCCACUAGUGGUGCUAUUGCUAAUGUCUGUGGAGAAUCGAGGCAGCAGUGUGUCAGCUCCUAGGAAUAUAUAAUGCAUAUAUACAAAGAAAUUAUGUUCUGGAACCAGUCAAUUGUGUGUUCAAGUCUAAACAUACAGUAUAAAGAGAGUAUCUUUCUCUCUCUUGUUCCAGAGAGGGUUCGUGCAUACUUCGUUCUAUCUCUGGUGACAUACGGGUUGCAAAUCUGACUCCUGCAAAAAUUGGUCUCACUUAUUUUUACUUUUCUUUUAGUCUCUUAUAGUACUUAAAUCAAGAGCAGUUUACAUGUAGAAAUGAAGCAGAGGAGGUGACAUAUGGGUUGCAAAUCUGACUCCUGCAAAAAUUGGUCUCACUUAUUUUUACUUUUCUUUUAGUCAUAUCCUGCAGGGAACUUUAAUUUUGUUAGCAUAUAUAUUGGGAAAGUGAGCAACAAUCUAAUAUUGUGCUCUUUGCAAUAAAUCAGCACAGUACAUCAGCUUUUUUUAUGGCACUUUGACCACUGAAAUGCAGCGUUUUUUUUUUUUUUUUUUUUUACCUUGUUUAAUUUUAUUUUGUAUAAUUUCUGUUUCGGGAGUGAUGUCAUCCAUUGGGUGAAUGAUACCGUUGUGUAGAAGAAUGUUCCUGUCAUAUGUAAUCCUGAUAUAUAAAAUGCCAUUUACACGUGGUCUCCCACUUACCCUCCCCUUUCAAACACCACAACAAGAAAAGCAAUGUUUUCACAACUGGAAAAAUGUAAGUCCGUUUUUUGUGCUUUGUAUUCUCUCAAAUGCCAGGCUGACUGGUGGAGAAGUUUAAUGUGGAAACUAUUCAAUAAACUGUGUUUUUAGAUAAAA